UUGACGGGGCCCGCACAAGCGGUGGAGCAUGUGGUUUAAUUCGAUGCAACGCGAAGAACCUUACCUGGGCUUGACAUCCCGAGAAUCCCCUGGAAACAGGGGAGUGCCUUUCGGGGAACUCGGAGACAGGUGCUGCAUGGGCUGUCGUCAGCUCGUGUCGUGAGAUGUUGGGUUAAGUCCCGCAACGAGCGCAACCCUUGUCUUUAAUUGCCAGCAUUCAGUUGGGCACUUUAAAGAGACUGCCGGUGUUAAACCGGAGGAAGGUGGAGAUGACGUCAAGUCCUCAUGGCCUUUAUGCUUAGGGCUACACACGUGCUACAAUGGGUGGUACAAAGAGAAGCCAACUCGCGAGAGCGCGCCAAUCUCAAAAAGCCAUCCUCAGUUCGGAUUGGAGUCUGCAACUCGACUCCAUGAAGUUGGAAUCGCUAGUAAUCGCGGAUCAGCAUGCCGCGGUGAAUACGUUCCCGGGCCUU
rnacentral:rRNA from 1 species